rnacentral:pre_miRNA from 1 species
AGCUUCUUUACAGUGUUGCCUUGUGGAAUGGAGUUCAAGCAGCAUUGUACAGGGCUAUCA